UUUCUAGCUUGCUAGAAGAUGACGAGCGGCGGACGGGUGAGUAAUACUUAGGAAUCUACCUAGUAGUGGGGGAUAGCUCGGGGAAACUCGAAUUAAUACCGCAUACGACCUACGGGAGAAAGGGGGCAACUUGUUGCUCUCGCUAUUAGAUGAGCCUAAGUCGGAUUAGCUAGAUGGUGGGGUAAAGGCCUACCAUGGCGACGAUCUGUAGCUGGUCUGAGAGGAUGAUCAGCCACACCGGGACUGAGACACGGCCCGGACUCCUACGGGAGGCAGCAGUGGGGAAUAUUGGACAAUGGGGGCAACCCUGAUCCAGCCAUGCCGCGUGUGUGAAGAAGGCCUUUUGGUUGUAAAGCACUUUAAGCAGUGAAGAAGACUCUGUGGUUAAUACCCACAGACGAUGACAUUAGCUGCAGAAUAAGCACCGGCUAACUCUGUGCCAGCAGCCGCGGUAAUACAGAGGGUGCAAGCGUUAAUCGGAAUUACUGGGCGUAAAGCGAGCGUAGGUGGCUUGAUAAGUCAGAUGUGAAAUCCCCGGGCUUAACCUGGGAACUGCAUCUGAUACUGUUAGGCUAGAAUAGGUGAGAGGAAGGUAGAAU
rnacentral:rRNA from 1 species